rnacentral:misc_RNA from 1 species
GCCAAGAUACAUGGCCAGAUAUACAUUCCUGAGAUCAAUUGGAUACUCAUGAUUCUUUGUGUUGCUGUGACUAUUGGUUUCAGAGACACAAAGCACAUGGGAAAUGCGUCAGGACUAGCAGUGAUGGCGGUGAUGCUAGUGACCACUUGCCUUACUUCAUUAGUUAUCAUCCUCUGCUGGAACAAGCCUCCAAUACUGGCCCUUGGAUUUCUCCUUGUGUUUGGGUCUAUUGAGUUACUCUACUUCUCAGCCUCCGUCAUCAAGUUUCUUGAAGGUGCUUGGCUUCCAAUCCUGCUUGCACUCUUUUUGGUUACUGUCAUGUUUGUUUGGCACUACGCCACAGUUAAAAAGUAUGAAUAUGAUCUCCACAAUAAGGUUUCAUUAGAAUGGCUGCUGGCUCUAGGUCCAAGCUUGGGUAUUACUCGAGUCCCUGGCAUCGGCCUCGUAUUCACUGAUUUGACUUCUGGGAUUCCAGCCAACUUCUCACGUUUUGUUACGAACCUCCCUGCCUACCACCGGAUACUUGUUUUCGUGUGUGUGAAAUCGGUGCCUGUCCCUUUUGUUCCCCCAGCUGAGAGGUACCUCGUAGGCCGUGUUGGUCCUGCAGCUCAUCGUUCCUAUAGAUGCAUUGUCCGUUAUGGUUACCGUGAUGUUCACCAGGAUGUUGACUCCUUUGAAUCCGAACUUGUCAGUAGGCUGGCUGAUUUCAUCCGGUAUGAUUGGUACAAGGCACAUGGAAUCAUGGAGACAUGCAACGAGGAUGACUGCUCACGUUCUGGUGCAUCGUCAGGAGAAUGUAGACUGACCGUUAUAGGAACUCUAGAUUUGUCAUGCGCACCAGCUUUUGAAGUCGAAGAAACCAUGCAGCCUGCAAGCGUGUCUGUGGGUUUUCCUACAGUUGAAAGUGUAACGGAUGUGAUAGAGAUGCAAGCAGUGGAAAGAAGGGUGAGAUUUGCGAUAGAUGACGAGUCGGAAGUGGAUUCACGGGACGUAAUGGAUUGUCAGCUGCAGGGAGAGCUAGAAGAUUUAUACACAGCACAACAAGCAGGUACAGCAUUUGUGCUAGGACAUUCACACGUGAAAGCAAAACAAGGAUCAUCUGUGUUGAAGAGGUUGGCUAUAAAUUAUGGUUAUAAUUUCCUUAGGAGGAAUUGCAGAGGUGCAGAUGUAUCCCUUAAAGUUCCUCCAGCAUCCCUUCUUGAAGUUGGCAUGGUCUACAUUGUUUAGUUAUAUAUAUAUAUAUAUAUCAUUUUUUCACUUUACUUUACUCCUAUAGCUAUGUAACUUAUUAGGACCUUCUUUAGUGAGGUAAAU